GAUGAACGCUGGCGGCGUGCCUAAUACAUGCAAGUCGAGCGAACAGACGAGGAGCUUGCUCCUCUGACGUUAGCGGCGGACGGGUGAGUAACACGUGGAUAACCUACCUAUAAGACUGGUAUAACUUCGGGAAACCGGAGCUAAUACCGGAUAAUAUAUUGAACCGCAUGGUUCAAUAGUGAAAGACGGUUUUGCUGUCACUUAUAGAUGGAUCCGCGCCGCAUUAGCUAGUUGGUAAGGUAACGGCUUACCAAGGGGACGAUGCGUAGCCGAGCUGAGAGGGGGAUAGGCCACCCUGGAACUGGGACACGGUCCAGGCUCCUACGGGAGGCAGCAGUAGGGAAUCUUCCGCAAUGGGCGAAAGCCUGACGGAGCAACGCCGCGUGAGUGAUGAAGGUCUUCGGAUCGUAAAACUCUGUUAUUAGGGAAGAACAAAUGUGUAAGUAACUAUGCACGUCUUGACGGUACCUAAUCAGAAAGCCACGGCUAACUACGUG
rnacentral:rRNA from 1 species